rnacentral:lncRNA from 1 species
UUUUUUUUUGCCUUUUGAAAGAUCCAAUGGCUGAGGACCAGAAGCUCCGAUGAAACCAAACAAACUGCCCCUAAUAAGCACGCCAGCUCACAUUUGAUCAAAGUCGUGAGGUGGUGAUCAGUCCAUCAAUUCACCUUUGCUCUUGCCUGUGGCAAAUAUCAAACUAGAUAAGCAUGAAAGAAAUUUAAAAAAAGAGUAAAUUUGGUGUUGUCGAUGCUGGCAGCAGCAGGAUAUUAUAAAACACAGUUGGAUGACCAGGUAGUCUCUGGUCGUGUUAAUGUGUUACCAUAGUCUGUCACUAGAUGCGUCAGGGAUUUGAUCUUGCCUUGCUGCUCUCCCUUCCUUCCUAUGGGCUGGUUGAGCUAGCCUCAUUCUAGGAUAACCAAACAAAUCCUAAUUUGGAUUGGGGGGCUGGGGUGACCAGGUGAGAUGGAACGUGUGCGUCAUCAUGGAACCAUCAAGGGGAAAGACAGGAUCGACACUACUGCAUACAGGGCUUUGCCCAGAGCCUGAGACGCUCGGCAAAGGCAGUUUAGCUCUCGGCAAAGGCUUUAACGAGAGUAGCUCUCGGGAAAAGCCUAUCGGCACAUCUUUUAUCGGCAAAGAGGUCUUUGCCGAGAGCCAUUCAUCGGGCUCUCGGCAAAGGGUUUGCCGAGAUCCAAACCUAGCUCUCGGCAAAGAAAAGUAGCCAUUACGGCUGUUGGCGGAUGACGGCGAUUUUGCCGAGAGCUACCUGACCGAGCUCUCGGCAAAAAAAUUUAAUUUUUUUUUCUGGAAAAGGUCUUUGCCGAGAGCUGGCAGGAGGGCUCUUGACAAAGAGAUUAAUUUUUUUUUAAAAAAAACCUCUUUGCCGAGAGCCUCCAGGAGGGCUCUCGGCAAAGUAAUUAAUUUUUUUUGAAAACCUCUUUGCCGAGAGCCUCCUGGAGGGCUCUCGGCAAAGUAAUUAAUUUUUUUGAAAACCUCUUUGCCGAGAGCCUCCUCGGCAAAGUAAUUAAUUUUUUUUGAAAACCUCUUUGCCGAGAGCCUCCAGGAGGGCUCUCGGCAAAGCUGGUUAUUUGGCCAUGCAGAUGGCUCCUUUGCCGAGAGCCCUGGCCCUGGCUCUCGGCAAAUCGACCAUUUUUUUAGCUUUGCCGAGAGCCCCUCUCGGCAAAUCGACCAUUUUUUCAACUUUGCCGAGAGCCCCUCUCGGCAAAUCGACCAAAAACUUUUUUUCCUGUUUUUUCGUCCAAUUUCUACUGAAAUGAUCAUAUGGCACAUAUAUUUCUAGAAAAUCACAUAUUUCACAUCCAAGAGCCUAUAGCUCACAUAUUCGACAUCGAUGACAAUAUAUACCACAUAAUCCACAUAAAUGAUUAUUUCCAUCACUUUGUCCAUCAUAACAAGUUCAAAUACUCCAAACUAACUUCACAUACAUCCAAACUAAGUCCAACAUGUUCAAUAACCACAUUCCACAAAGUUCACAUGUUUAAACAAAAUAAAUCCAUCACCACAUAGUCCACAUACUCCAAACUAACUGCAUCUCAAGCUAAGUCGACCUGACUCACUGUG